GGAGGGGUGGUCGAGUGGUUGAUGGCUCCGGUCUUGAAAACCGGCAGGGCGCAAGCCCUCGUGGGUUCGAAUCCCACCCCCUCCGCCG
rnacentral:tRNA from 1 species